rnacentral:lncRNA from 1 species
GGCAGGGGAGCCCACCCUGGAUCCUGAGGCGCCGAGCUUGAGGGACCCCAGAGCUCCAGCCAGGCCGCUUUCUUUGCGGAUGGUGAAGCUGAGGUCCCGAGGAGGGCAGGGGCAGGUCCCGGGCGCUCCUCAGGCAAAGGGAGCCGAUUUAGGGGCUGGGGUCACAGGAGGCGCUUCUGCGACCUCUAGGGCCCUAGAGCCCGGGAGGAUGAGAGACUGGGGGCCUUUCGUCCACCCCUGGGGCUGGGCAGACGCUCAGCCUGUGCAACCCGAAGCUGCUUCUGCCCAGUCCCAGCCGCGGCCCCUUUAAGAGGGGGUGGUGCUUCAGCCUGGCGCCAGGGACGCUGCCAGCAUGCAGGCCCCGACGGAAGCCGAGACUGCGCUUCGUGCGAGGCCCGGGCAGCAUCGGCGGCGUGGUCAGAGCGAGUCUCGGAGAAGAUGUGGUGGCUUCCGUUUGUUGGUGGAGGAGGUGGCAGGCCUCGGCGGGUAACCCAGAGAACACAGCCGAAGUGGAAUGUGGGGACGUCUGCGACACCGGGGACAGAGCAACUGUGGAUGAAGAGGGCUACAUCUGGUUCCUGGGGAGGAGUCAUGACACUAUCAAUGCCUCUGGGUGGUGAAGGCAUUGAUUGUCCUGACCCCACAGUUUCUGUCCCAUGACAAGGACCAGCUGACUAAGGAGCUGCAGCAGCAUGUAAAGUCAGUGACAGCCCCAUCUGCCACCAGCACUCACUCCAGCCACUAAAGCCAGAAAGUUGAAAGACCUCUGCCCUCAUCCGGCCCAGCCCCCAUCCAGCCAAAGACCUGUCAUUUCAACCUCACGCCCACCCCGCUUUCCACUCCCACUGCUCCUGCCUUAGUUCAGACCACCACCGUCGCUCUCCUACCCAGUUCAAGCCAAGCUGACCUGGCCAGUGGCCUUCAGGCCUUCCCUUCUCCAUCCUGCCAUGUCCAUCCUCCACAGGCAGAACAGGAAGCUGUCAUGUAAAAGUGCAGGUCUGCUUUGGUCCUUCUCCUAAACCCUUCAGUGGCUUCCCGGUUCCCUUUGGGUCCUGGUACAGAUUCCUUAGCAUGGCCAGGGAGGACAGCCCUCCAUGAUCCUCCCCUCCCUGAGAUGUUCCUCCUGCCCCAGCACCCUGUGUUUGAGCCCAAGCCCGCCCUGUGGUGUCACGGGAGGCCCAGCUCCUCUGCCUGGGGUGCCUUGCCUGGCCUAGGAACUGGGAAAACUUACCUGCUUCCAAGACUCAGCUCUAGCACCUCUUCCUGCUGGGUGUUUUCCGAUGCCCCCCCUCUCGCCACCUCAUGGGGACCCCACAGUCCCCUGAAGAGCCUUCUGCCCCAGUGCCUCACCCCACUCUUUAGACCUGUUUCUGUUUCCAUGGCUGCCUUGCCUUCUUAGACCACGGGCUCCUGCAGAGCGGGACCCCAUAUCUCAGUCGGCUUUGCAUUCCCAGUGCCUGGCCGAAACUGAGGCUGGAAUGGUCUCCUAUUCCAUAAGCUCUCAAUAACCCUUGAAAAAUGACUGGAAUCCUGGACAGCGCCAAGGCAGCAACUGGGAUGGGAGAGUGAUCUGCUGCCCUCUCCUGGCAAUGUGAGGAAUUGUCCUAAGCACAGACAACUCCCUCCCUGCCUUGCACAAGUGCAGGAUGGGGGAAACUGGAAAAGGAGCUGAUGGAGGAUUGGGGAGGUGGAUGCUGUCUAAGGAGACAAACUGAAUUGAGGGGUUGCUGGGACUCGGCCGGCUCACAUGCUAUUCCCAUGUCAUGGGCCCAGGGGCCAAGUCAGUGCUUCCAAAGGAGGGUGCAUCCUGAGAGAGGCUCUGGCUCCCCCAACAAAACCCUAAACUCUUGAAGGACAUCUUCCUUCUCAGUAUACCCUAUUGCUGUGUUGUUGUAACUAUCACUGUAACUUUUAUUCACUUCAGUGGGCGAUCACUGAGUUUUUCCUCCAUUGUUGUAAAACAUGUGUUUUGCUCUUGUGUGUAAAAUGACUGUGAAUUUAGCCACUGCCUUCUCCUGAUUUUAACUCAGCUUUCUACUGCUAGGAGGUUAUCUCUGUUCUGGGUUUCUCAGCUUUCUAUCAAAACCCAAAUACUGUCAUUCCUCGGUAUCCGUAGGGGAUUGGUUCCAGGAACCUCCCUUGAAGAUACCAACAUUGCAGGUGCCCAAGCCCCUGAUAGAGAACAGCGCAGCAUUUGCAGACAACCUAUGUACACACUGCAUGCACUUUCAAUCAGCUCUAGAUUACUUCUGAUACCUAAUUCAAUGUAAAUGCUGUGUCAGUAGUUGUCUAGGGAAUAAUGACAAGAAGAAAAUUUUGUACAUGUUCAGUACGUAGGAAAAAGAAAGAGAGAUCAGACUGUCACUGUGUCUAUGUAGAAAGGGAAGACAUAAGAGAUUCCAUUUUGAAAAAGACCUGUACUUUAAACAGUUGCUUUGCUGAGAUGUUGUUAAUUUGUAGCUUUGCCCCAGCCACUUUGCCUUAGCCACUUUGACCCAACCUGGAGCUCACAAAAAUAUGUGUUGUAUAAAAUCAAGGUUUAAGGGAUCUAGGGCUGUGCAGGAUAUGCCUUGUUAACAAAAUGUUUACAAGCAGUAUACUUGGUAAAGGUCAUCGCCAUUCUCUAGUCUCAAUAAAACAGGAGCACAGUGCACUGCGGAAAGCCGCAGGGACCUCUGCCCUUGAAAGUGGGGUAUUGUCCAAGGUUUCUCCCCAUGUGAUAGUCUGAAAUAUGGCCUCGUGGGAUGAGAAAGACCUGACUGUGCCCCAGCCCGACACCCAUAAAGGGUCUGUGCUGAGGUGGAUUAGUAAAAGAGGAAAGCCUCUUGCAGUUGAGAUAGAGGAAGGCCACUGUCUCCUGCCUGCCCCUGGGAACUGAAUGUCUCGGUAUAAAACCCGAUUGUACAUUUGUUCAAUUCUGAGAUAGGAGAAAAACCGCCCUAUGGUGGGAGGCGAGACAUGUUUGCAGCAAUGCUGCCUUGUUAUUCUUUACUCCGCUGAGAUGUUUGGGUGGAGAGAAACAUAAAUCUGGCCUACAUGCACAUCCGGGCAUAGUACCUUCCCUUGAACUUAAUCAUGACACAGAUUCUUUUGCUCACAUGUUUUUUGCUGACCUUCUCCUUAUUAUCACCCUGCUGUCCUACUACAUUCCUUUUUGCUGAAAUAAUGAAAAUAAUAGUCAAUAAAAACUGAGGGAACUCAAAGGCCGGUGCCAGUGCAGGUCCUUGGUGUGCUGAAUACUGGUCCCCUGGACCCACUGUUGUUUCUCUAUACUUUGUCCCUGUGUCUUAUUUCUUUUCUCAGUCCCUCAUCCCACCCGACUAGAAAUACCCACAGGUAUUUCUAGGGAGGGGCAGACCACCCCUUCACAGUAAAGCCACAAUAUUUUUCAAAUAUUUUUACCCCAGGUGGUUGAAUCCCCAGUUGAAUCCAGAACCCACAGAUGUGAAAUCCAUGGGUGAGGAGGGCCAGCUGUGCCUGUUAGCAUCCCCUGACCCCCACGGUGCCCACUGCUUCAAUGGGUCAGGUGAUGUCAUGCACCCCUCCUGGCAAAGAGAAGCAUUACCUCAGCUCCUCUUGGGGCUGCAGGUCUAACCGUCUGCAUCUUAACGUUUGCAAAGGUUGCCUAACCCCUAAUAUAGGAAAUAGAUUUGGGGAAGGAGCUUGAGUCUGUAGCUGGAGAUUUGUGAUUGAUGUUCACAGAGAUAGUUAAAGUCUUGGAGUGGCUAAGAUAGCCACCUGCAGAGAAAAAUCACCUGUCAUUCACCAUUGAAUCCUCCAUCUCUAUUGCACAGGGCAUUGUAUAAACAUCAGGUGUCUAUGGAACAAAUGCAAAGAGAGUACACAAAAGAAGCAAAAGGGACUGUCUUUGCACGAUGCAGAAAAUUAGACCUGCAUGGCACGUUUAGCCCUAAAUUUAGGAAUCUACCCCACUAGACAGGAAAUAUCUUUUCAAUUAACAAAUGGCCUCUCCACUCCUUCUUUCCUUGGAAAGUUUACUGAACAAUGAUUGGGCACCGUAAACUUUGUUUUCAUGUCAAACAGUACCUGCCCUCCAGUGGUUUAUCAUCUAUUUUGUGGGACAUGGCACAAAGGAAGAAAAACUGUUUGGUCCUCAGGAAGUCUGUAACCUCACCAGACGAGGCAUCCAUCUCACACUUGCUUCUCCGGGACCACUAGAGAGCCACAUGAGACCAUGUGCAAUGAAAUGCUGAAUUCACAACCACUUACCACUGAAAAUGAGCAGCACAGAAAAUCAGUGUUUUUAGUUAGGUGGCGCUAUCAGGGCAGGCUUCCUGAAAGAAGCUGGCUUUGAACUGCCCUAGGCUGGGAAGAAGUAGAAAACAGAACGGAAAAUUCAUUGUCCCAUGGUCUGGAGGCAUCCUGAAUCCUUGGACCAGCAUCAGCCAGAGAUCCCAGUGGCGAGACAGGGGAGUGAAGCCAUUGACAAUCCUGCCCAUGUUCUCACUCUUGAGAGUGUGGCACUGGGGCAGAAGCAGCAAAGACGACCACUGCAUACUUUGCAGCUCCCAGACAGAGGCGCACUUGGCUUCCAAUGCACAAGGCCCCCUUCGAUAACACCUUUUCAGGGUGCAGGAUAAUAGAGUAAAGUGUGGGUGGACUGGAGUGAAGUGCAGCCCAGGAUGAUAGCACCAGCUCAGAACGUCCUCAGCGAGGCCAGCAACAAUUUGGAGAAUAUUGAGAUGGAGCUGUCCAAUGAGCCAGAGGGUCCCUGAGAGAUGAGAUGGCCUUGGCCUGGAUUCCCCACCCCUCACUCACAAAAGCAGCUUGGUCCAUGGAGCUGGGGAGCACUGUUCAAUAAUAAUGAACAGCCCACCAGGCAGGCCUCCCAUCAGAGCCCAGUGAGGGGGCAGGUGAGCGCUGUCUCCCCAGCACCUGCUCCUGCCUGGGCCAGUGGCCCUGACCCUUCUGACAAAUCCCUAAGUGCGCCAACUGCUACGUGGUUUCUCACCAUCUGCAGCCCAAACUCUGCCUCCAAAGCCUAGUGGAUCCACCCAAUGGGCCUUACCUCCCACUCUCCCCACACAUUCUGCUGUAACUGAGACUCGCCUGCUCCCUGGGCUGCAACGCUCAUGUUUACCUGGACUUCCUCACACCGUCCCCACCACCUGAAUUAUCCUGCUCCUUUCCACCCCGAACAAUGGUAGGAACAGAAGCAGCACAGAAGAGAUAGCUUCAAGUCCUCCACUAAACAGAGAGUGCCUGCAUAAUCCCACAAACGAACAUAAAGUUAACCAUCUUACAGUUACAGAGGCCCGACGUCCACAGUUAGCCUCAGCCAGGCUGAAGUCACAGUGUCAGCACGGCUGGCUCGUUCUGGAGCUCCUGGGAGACGUGGCUCCCUUGCCUUUCCCAGCUCCUAGAGGCAUCAUGAGUUCCUUGGCUUAUGGUCCCAUAGCACAUGGACUUCUGCUUCUGUGGCCACAUCUCCAUCUUUGACUCUGGCCCUCCAGAGUCCCUCUUUUGAGGACUCCUGUGAUUACAUUACCAGAGCCACGUUGUAAGGGAAGCAUGGCACCAGCAUCUGCUUCUGAUGAGGGCCUCAGGAAGCUUCCCAUCAUGGCAUAUGGCAAAGAGGGAGCAAGCAAAUCAUGGUGAGAAAGGAAGCAAGAGUGAGCGGGAGGAAAUGCCAGGCUCUUUUGAUCAGCCGGAUCUCGCAUGAAGUCAUAGAGUGAGAACUCAUUCAUUACUGCAGGACAACACCAAGUCAUUUGUGAAGAUUCCAUCCCCGUGACCCAAACACCUCCGGGUAGGCCCACCUCCAACACUGGAGGUCACAUUUCAACAUGAGAUUUGGAGGGGACAAACAUCUAAACCAUAUCAAGAUUUUUCAUUUAUUUGUCUAAAUUGAUUCCUAUGUAUUUCAUAUUUUUGUAGCUAUUGUAAAUGAGAUUGCUUUCUUGAUUUCUUUUUUCAGAUUAUUCACCAUUGACAUAUAUAAAUGCUACUAAUUUCUGUAUGUUGAGUUUGUAUCCAGCAACUUACUGAAUUAGUUUACCAGUUCUAGCAGUUUUUUGGUGGAGUCUUUAGGUUUUUCUAAGUGUAAGUUCAUGUCAUCUGUGAACAAGGCUAUGAUUUCUUUCUUUCCAAUUUUAGUACUCUUUAUUUUUUUCCCUUGCCUAAUUGCUCUUCCAGGACUUCCAAUAUUAUGUUAAAUAAAAGUGGUGAAAAGUGAGCAUCCUUGUCUUAUUCCAGAUGUUAGAAGAAAGGUUUUCAAUAUACAAUGUUAGCUGUGUGUUUGUCAUCUACGGCCUAUGUUAUUUUGAGGUAUGUUUCUUCUAUACCCAGUUUGCUGAGGAUUUUUACUAUAAAGGUAUGUUGAAUUUUAUUGGAUGAUUUUUCAAUAUCUAUUGAAAUGGUCAUAUGGCUUCUGUUCUUGGUUCUGUUAAUGUGAUGUAUCACAUUUAUUGAUUUGCGUAUGUUGAAUCAUCCUUGAAUUCCUGGGAUGAAUUUUACUUGAUCAUGGUGAAUUAUUUUUUAACAUGUUGUUGAAGUUCACUAGUAUUUUGUUGAGAAUUUUUGCAUCUAUGUUUAUGCUUGAUAUUGGCCUGUGGUUUUCUUUUUUGUGUGUAUUUAUCUGGUUUUGGUAUCAGAGUAAUGCUGACUUUCUAGAAUAAGUUUAGAAGUAUUCCCUCCUCUUCAAUUUUUUGAAGCACUUUCUUGAAUAUAAUUAGUAUUAUUUCUUUUUUUUUUUUUUUGAGACAGAGUCUCACUCCAUCGCCCAGGCUGGAGUGCAACGGCGCCAUCUGGGCUCACUGCAACCUCCACCUCCUGGGUUCUAGGGAUUCUCAUGCCUCAGCCUCCUGAGUAGCUGGGACUACAGACAUCCACCACCACACCCAGCUAAUUUUUGCAUUUUUAGUAGAGACAGGGUUUCAACAUGGUGGCCAGGCUGGCCUUGAACUCCUGACCUGAAGUGAUCCACUUGCCUCAGCCUCCCAAAAUGCUGGGAUUACAGGUGUGAGCCACUGUGCCUGGCAGGAUAUUAUUUCUUCUUUAAAUGUUUGGUAGAAUUCAGCAGUGAAGCCAUCAGGUUCUGGGCUUUAUUAAUUAAUUAAUUAAUUAAUUAAUUAGACAUAGUCUUGCUCUAUCACCCAGGCUGGAGUGCAG